AUUCCGUGAUGAGGUUACUUCCGUAAUAAUAUUUUGUACCUUUCCCAUGCCUCAUACAAGAACACAUCAUCCAUUUUUUGGAAAGCAGUGAUCUCAUUCCUCAACUU
rnacentral:snoRNA from 1 species